rnacentral:rRNA from 1 species
AUAGCGUAUAUUAAAGUUGUUGCGGUUAAAAAGCUCGUAGUUGAAUCUGUGUCCCACGCUGUCGGUUCACCGCUCGCGGUGUUUAACUGGCAUGACUGUGGGACGUCCUACCGGUGGGCUUAGCCUCUCGGGGCGGCCCAACUAAUAUCCCAUCGCGGUGCUCUUCACUGAGUGUCGAGGUGGGCCGGUACGUUUACUUUGAACAAAUUAGAGUGCUUAAAGCAGGCUAUCUUCGCCUGAAUACUGUGUGCAUGGAAUAAUGGAAUAGGACCUCGGUUCUAUUUUGUUGGUUUUCGGAACCCCGAGGUAAUGAUUAAUAGGGACAGAUGGGGGCAUUCGUAUUGCGACGUUAGAGGUGAAAUUCUUGGAUCGUCGCAAGACGGACAGAAGCGAAAGCAUUUGCCAAAAAUGUUUUCUUUAAUCAAGAACGAAAGUUAGAGGUUCGAAGGCGAUCAGAUACCGCCCUAGUUCUAACCAUAAACGAUGCCAGCUAGCGAUCCGCCGAAGUUCCUCCGAUGACUCGGCGGGCAGCUUCCGGGAAACCAAAGCUUUUGGGUUCCGGGGGAAGUAUGGUUGCAAAGCUGAAACUUAAAGGAAUUGACGGAAGGGCACCACCAGGAGUGGAGCCUGCGGCUUAAUUUGACUCAACACGGGAAACCUCACCAGGCCCGGACACCGGAAGGAUUGACAGAUUGAUAGCUCUUUCUUGAUUCGGUGGGUGGUGGUGCAUGGCCGUUCUUAGUUGGUGGAGCGAUUUGUCUGGUUAAUUCCGAUAACGAACGAGACUCUAGCCUGCUAAAUAGGCGUACUUUCCGGUAUCUCGAAGGCCCCCGGCUUCGGUCGGGUGGUUUUUACUACCGGCGUACAAAUAAAUCUUCUUAGAGGGAC